rnacentral:pre_miRNA from 1 species
UAUGUACUCCCUCCGUCUGAAAAAACUUGUCCCAAGCUUGUUCCUCAAAUGGAUGUAUCUAGCACUAACUUGGUGCUAGAUACAUCCAUUUGAGGGACAAGUUUUUCCGGACGGAGGGAGUAGAGG